AGUCACAUCAGAAACUUUCUGAGCAUCUGAAAACAUCAGUGUGAUUCUGCUUUCAUCCAGACCAUCAAAGAUGAACACAACUUUACACUCCUCAUAAAUCUUUGGGUCCAGAUCUUGAAGUUCAGGAUGAAAGUCCAGCAGAAGUCUGUGAAGACUGUACUGAU